UACGGAGGAUGCAAGCGUUAUCCGGAAUGAUUGGGCGUAAAGCGUCCGCAGGUGGCUGUGUAAGUCUGCUGUUAAAGAGUCUAGCUCAACUAGAUACAAGCAGUGGAAACUACACGGCUAGAGUACGUUCGGGGCAGAGGGAAUUCCUGGUGUAGCGGUGAAAUGCGUAGAGAUCAGGAAGAACACCGGUGGCGAAGGCGCUCUGCUAGGCCGUAACUGACACUGAGGGACGAAAGCGUGGGGAGCGAACAGG
rnacentral:rRNA from 1 species